UACGUAGGUGGCGAGCGUUGUCCGGAAUUACUGGGCGUAAAGGGCGCGUAGGCGGUUUUUUAAGUUAGAUGUGAAAACCCAGGGCUUAACUUUGGGCGUGCAUUUAAAACUGGAGAGCUUGAGUGCAGGAGAGGUAAGUGGAAUUCCUAGUGUAGCGGUGAAAUGCGUAGAUAUUAGGAGGAACACCAGUGGCGAAGGCGACUUACUGGACUGUAACUGACGCUGAGGCGCGAAAGCGUGGGGAGCAAACAGGAUUAGAUACCCUGGUAGUCCCUGAGCGGG
rnacentral:rRNA from 1 species